CAGCUCUCCGAGUGGUAGGGAUGAUUAUUGGGCUUAAAGCGUCCGUAGCCGGCUUAGCAAGUCUCCUGUUAAAUUCAGCGACCUAAUCGUUGACCCGCGGGAGAUACUACUAGGCUAGGAGGCGGGAGAGGUCGACGGUACUUCUGGGGUAGGGGUGAAAUCCUAUAAUCCCGGGAGGACCACCAGUGGCGAAGGCUGUCGACUAGAACGCGCUCGACGGUGAGGGACGAAAGCUGGGGGAGCGAACCGGAUUAGAGACCCCAGUAGUCC
rnacentral:rRNA from 1 species